CACGUAGGGCGCAAGCGUUGUCCGGAAUUAUUGGGCGUAAAGAGCUCGUAGGCGGUCUGUCGCGUCGAUCGUGAAAACUUGGGGCUUAACCCUGAGCUUGCGGUUGAUACGGGCAUGACUGGAGUUCGGCAGGGGAGACUGGAAUUCCUGGUGUAGCGGUGAAAUGCGCAGAUAUCAGGAGGAACACCGGUGGCGAAGGCGGGUCUCUGGGCCAUUACUGACGCUGAGGAGCGAAAGCGUGGGGAGCGAACAGG
rnacentral:rRNA from 1 species